UGGUAAUGUGUCUCUACUCAAAACAGACGUCUUGUUUUGAUUUUUUCAGGUCAGUGAUCCAUUCGUCCAGUUUGACCCCUAGUGGGAGCCUGGAGGACACUCACCAUUGUACCAUCAGGUAGAAGGGACCCACCUGACAUCGCCACAAAGGAGGGAAGAAAACUCAGGAUUUAAUACUUCUGAAGUGAAAGCUACAAGUGCCUCUACCCCACUGCACCUUGUGCCUUAACUUAUCUGUUACUUAAGAUCACAUCAGAGCAAGUAAAGGCAAUGCGUGUACUUCUCAACAAUAAAAUUAACCAAGUGAUCAGUGCAAAGCAAGUACGACAGUGUGGCAGUGGUGGCGGUCCCUACGCUGAACCCGUGGAUGGGAGCAAGCAGCAGGGCUACCCGUACUGAACGAGGGCUUGUCCCCCAGCAACUGCAGGGGGUUGUGGGCGUUUUGGGACAGGUGUAGGUAGGGUGCUUUUACAAAAUGGGCAGGGUAGAAGGAAAGAGGCUUCAGGUCCACCGAAACUUCCUUUCAUGCUGCCCUUCCAUUCACUAAUUUCUGUGCCUAUUUGUAUCGUUCGACCUUUGUGAACGUUAGGGUAUUAUUUUGAAGCCCACAGCUAUCUUAAGAUUAAUUAUACUAAUAGGUAUUAUUAUUACAUAUACAUAGGACAAAUCCACUUCAGGGUGAUAUAUAGAAAGUAAAAAUGAAAUCAUAUUUUAUAGGAAACAUAUUUCUCAUUUUAGACAAAAAAAAAUUUGAGUACCAAGCAAGGUGAUUAAAUUAUAUAUCUUGUUCUGAAAUCCUUCUCUGAAAAUCUUGCUUAGUCACCACAUUUUCGUGACUCCCCCCAGACUGGGUUAGGUGGCACCUACCCCCUCUCUCUCAUGGGUGGUAGUCAGCACAGUCUCUGGAGACAGACUGAGAGAGUGCAGAUCUCAGCUGCAUGACCUUGGAGAAGUUAUUUAACCUCUCUGUGCCUUCUUCGUCUGUAAAGUAGGGAUAAUUAUAAUAUGAUCUAUUUUGUUUUUGUAGAAAUUAAAUAAGCUAAUAUGUGAAAAGUGCUUGGCUCAUAGCGAACUCCAUAUGGCUAAAAUUCUUACCAUCACCAUCACCAUGGUAACCCUGUCACACUGCAUUAUCAGCAGCAAGCUCCUGAGGACAGGCAAGUCUCAUAUUUUCUCUCUGACUUCUACCACAAGCACAUAAUAGGUACCUGACUUAAAUAGGUAUGUCUUAAAACUGAGGCUACAAGUACUCAGACUUGCUAAUUUACCUUACAACUUUCAGUCCAUAUGUAUGGAAGCCAAACGUUUCCAUACAUAUUUCUUAGAAAUGAAGAUUUAAAAAAAAAUGAAUCGUUCUCGAAUUGAACUGACAAGGAUUCUCUCUCAUACUCUGGAAUUUCGAAAGGCUGAGAUGAUGAUGGAUUCUGAACACAGCCAACCUUGAGAAGAAACCUGACUCGAUCGCCAUGCCUCCGUGAGGAAGUGCCUCACUGUGGGUUAUCUGUGAUCUUUAAUUUAGAUUCAGACAUGGCGAAAGGUAAGUCUCUGACAGUGCCGAGUAGAGUAAAGCAGCGAAAGUAAGGAAGUUGAAGAAUUAGUAUCACUUUAACAAAUAGCCCCCGAGAAAACAGGUUUCCCACAACCUCUACAAUCCUUCUGAGUCAAGAUACAACCUCCUUAAAAAUCGCAUGAAUUAGCUGCACCAGAGGCUGCAAAGUCAGUAUUUUUCUGUAACUUAUGAAAUCAGAAACGUAUGAAAUCAGAAGAAAUCUCACCAAAUAAACACGACGAAGUUAUCGUGUAUCGGAAAUUUUUUAAUGGAGCAAUCCACACCACAAUUACUCUCCACUUUUAUUCAGAGACAAGCCCUGGAGAAGCUUCUGGCAGCCACUGGUUUAUAACCGGCUUGACUGCUUAGCGGAAGGUCAUGUGGGGAGUUAACUUUCUCCACCAGCAUCGUAAAAAGGUGCGCUGAGCAGGCACCGGGGGACCCAGGUCUGUGGGUCGUCAGCGUGUGCUGCGGGCUGGCCACGUGCCAGGCUUGAUGGGAGCCCAUUCGCUCACUCCUCCCAGCACCCUGCACCACGAUAUUAGUCUUCUCAUCCCCACUUUCAAGGAAGGAGACUGAGACACCGAGAGGCAAGGGACACGCCCAGAGCUAAAAGGGCUGAUGGAAGGGCAGGCCCCAGCAGCUGGCUGUGGAGUCCUCGCUCCAACACCUACCAGUGCUGCCCGGUGAAUCUCCGUGGGGCGCCCGCUGGGCCCAGGCCCACGUACCGCCCUCGAGGGCGUCGGGAGUGAAGUAUAAGCUCCCAGGCCGGCAGAAGACCCUCCACAACGUCACGCACGUCUCCCCCUCCGAACCUGAUUUCUCCUCAUUUUCCUGUGCAUCAAAAAGUAGCCACCGAACAUCUUCCACUUCUGUCCCUUUUCUUAAGGUCUGAGUGCUGAGCUCCUUUCCCCUGCCUUGUCUUCAUGACCGAAAUCUCACCAACCCUUCGAAGUUCACUGCCAAUGUUACCUCCUCUGCCUAACUUACCAGAAGCGAACGCGGGGCUUCGUUUCCAUCCCUCGUGCUGCACUUCAGUCUGCCUUCUUUCCGUCCCUUCCCCCCGGCCACCGAGACCAACGCAGGGACUAGAUCCCACUCAGCUUUCAGAGCUCAUGAAAUACUUAACGGUGAACUGGAGAAGAGACGGCUAGAGGGAGAGGAGCUCCGUGAGACAGGCCAUCCCAGGGACCGCAGUGACGAGUUCCCAGCCCUGGCGGGUGGGGGGCGGGGGCCAGUCCAGUCAGGUCCAUUCUGCGGCCAGCCCCGAAGGCCAUUUCCGUGGAAGCCUAACCUGCCUUUCCCUGUUCGCCUGGCAAAAGCUAUAAUUUAUACAUUUUUCCUUUGUAAAAAUGAUGACUUGGAAUUCUGCUCAAAAACAAACAAAACACUCCAUUCAAAUAAGCAUUCGCCCAUGCCAAACUGUUAACAAGAUCGCGUCUGGGCAACGGGACCAUACACGCAUGUGCAUGUGUAUUGUGCGUGUGCGUGUGUGUGUGUGCACGUGCGUGUGUGUGUGCGCGUGCCUGUGUGCAUGUGCAUGCCCACAGCUGGCAGGGGCAGGGGAAGGAGAGGGGAAAGGGAUUCUAGAGGGGCCUUUUCUUUGUUACUCUGAGACUGCUUGGAUUUUUCCCCAAUGAGCUAGUGUUUGCAACUUUUUUUAAUCAGUAAAAAAUAUAUAUACAUAUAUAUAUACAUACGUAUAUAUAGAGAAAGCGCGAGAGAGAACCCUUAUCAUCCUUGACGUUCUCUUGCCCAAACCUAGACUGCUGCCCUCUAAACUGAUUUUUUUUUUAAACUGAUUUUUAACGGUUGUUUUUGAAUCAUUUAUAAGCACCAUGAUUCAUACAGUUAUAUUUAUCUGACUCUUAAAAGGCUAGCAAGCAAACCUGCGGUGCCAAACAGCCCCUGCCAGGCUCUGGGUCAGGCCCUCCCUCAGCUGCAGAGAACGUCAGAAAAACCGCCUCAUUUCCUGGAAUAGUUUAAACUGGCCCUGGGCUUCAGCGGUGAGGAAAAGGGAGGGCCAGGCUGUGAAAGGCAGAGCUUGGCAGAGAGGAAGAGGGAGAGGACACGGCAGAGAGAAAGGACGACAGCCAGUCACCUGCUGCCUCUGCGGGCUCUGGGCAGACUCUGGGGCAAGCCGGCUGCCGUGUCUCGAGGACAAGCAGGCAGCCCAGUGGAGAGGCUCAAGUGGUGAGGAACUGAGGCCCUCGGUCCGACGGCCAGGGCGAGUGGGGAUCACCACGUGAGCAAGCCUGGGAGGAAACUCCAACUUUCGGAUGACUGCGACCUCACGAGAGACCACGAGCCUCCUCUCAACACCGACCGAAGUCCAACGUUCUUCGGCUGAUAAUGGCAGCGUAAAAGUACUUUAAAAUAUACCGUUUGUCACGGAAAUUAACACAUAAUUAAUUAAGGUGAGAACAACGGGACAGUAAAAAUUCCACUAAUAGUAGAA